GUGGGGGAUAUUGCACAAUGGGGGGAACCCUGAUGCAGCGACGCCGCGUGGGUGAAGGAGCGUUUCGGCGCGUAAAGCCCUAUCGGCAGGGAAGAAGACGACGGUACCUGACCAAGAAGCCCCGGCUAACUACGUGCCAGCAGCCGCGGUAAUACGUAGGGGGCAAGCGUUAUCCGGAUUUACUGGGUGUAAAGGGGGCGCAGACGGCAAUGCAAGCCAGGAGUGAAAGCCCGGGGCCCAACCCCGGGACUGCUCUUGGAACUGCAUGGCUGGAGUACAGGAGGGGCAGGCGGAAUUCCUAGUGUAGCGGUGAAAUGCGUAGAUAUUAGGAGGAACACCGGUGGCGAAGGCGGCCUGCUGGACUGUGACUGACGUUGAGGCCCGAAGGCGUGGGGAGCAAACAGG
rnacentral:rRNA from 1 species